UUUAUUAAAAAAAAAGUACUUUGUACUGAGUGACCUAAUUGUGCAUCUUCAUCUUCACAGAAAGCCUUGGAUGUUCGGUGAAACUUUAGUCAUUCUUCCACCUUCUUUCAAUCGUUGAUGUUUAGGGAUGAAGCGUAGGAACUUCAUAUUCAAAAUAUCUGCCCAAUUUCUCCAUUUCUCAUAGGGAAUGUGGACAAAAAAAUUGAGAGUGUUGCAUGCCUUGAAGGAAGGUCGCAGGUUCUAUCCUUUUUGGUAUAAAGUUUGGUUUCCACUGUUUGGGUAAAAAAUUGAAAUUGAAGAGUUGCUUAAAAAAGGAAAGAGACAUUCUUUUUGGGACUAAAAGGAAAGUAAGACAAAUAGAUUCUACCGGAUGGAGCAAUUCUUCUUUGUACCACAUGAAAAACUAAGAUGUCCAAAUGGACAACCAUAAAGAUCGAUGUUAAAAAACUGUGUUCCUCUGUCACUACACUGAACAAAUCACCUCAUCGUCUUUAGUUUACUGUGUAUAUUUGCUGAAAUGGUUCAGCAUGUUUGUUACCAGGAGCAACAAGGUCAAGUAGGUAAGAAUUAACACUUUAGUUCUAUUUCUAUUGUUGAUGAUCAUAGUAGCCCUUUUACCAUUCUGUAUAAAUGAGUUAUUCCAUUUGUACUGAUAGGGUGGAGGGGAAUAUUUAAUUCUUUUUAUCUAUUAGUUUUCAGUUCUUAUCUUUCGCUUGUGGUAGAGCAAUCUGAUAGCUCGCAAGGCUCAUAACCUUGAGGUCACGGAAACUCCAGUUGCUUUUGUAUCCUCAUUUUGUAGUCAUAUUCCUUUGUACCCAACAUAUUUGAUGAAAGUUAUGUUCAGAUUGUUAGAAGAAUGAUCCAUUGAUUCUUAGUAAAUAUAUUAUCAAAUUCUGUAACAUCCUAAAUCAAUGGAUUACAAGUGCCGCUGAAAGAAACAAAAGGAAUAUGACCUCUUUAACUACUAUUGACAAUAAAGGGAAGUAGCAGUGACAAAAUAUGCAACUUCAGGCAAGAUGCUGAAACUAGGAUCACCAACACAACUUGGUGUUAUGUCCCUUUUCAAUUACGACGAAACAUGAGAAUGCGCUUAGUGAAGUUCAAGAAGUGCUUUAUCAUGGACAUCAUAAGAAUCUAUAUGAUCAAGACCAAAGGGCUGCAGAAAUGCUCCAACAGUGACAUUCUAUGGACUGCUUCAAUUGGAUGGCGCCUCAUCACAGUCCAUACGUCCCUUAUAUACUUUGUUUGGCUGGAGUAUCAGGUAUGUCUUUUGUUCAGUCGAGUUGAAGCCAAAUGCUUUUUCAUCAAAACAUCUUGUGGAUUUCCAAGAGACCUGAAAAAUGUUGUGCUUGGCUUGUUCCUGGAUAUGAGGGAUUAUUCUCCUUCAUUAUGAAAAAUGACCUUUCACAUGCAGGGGAACGGAAGAGGUCUACAGACUGCAUCUCAUAUUAAUAAUAGACCACUUGCACCUGCUGCCGCGGGAUCAAAGAGCUCUAUAUAUGAACCACUUUUGUAUGGUAAUACUUCAUGACAUUUUAGGCCAACUGUAAAGUAGUUAGCUCCACCUAAUUUACAACCUCAAUUGACCAUGAACAAGGUCAAUAUGGACAAUGUUGCUGCAAUGUCAUCUGUCCAGAAAUUUGGUUGAUGGAAAUAAAGUUUGGAAAAUUUGGUUGAGCCUGAAUAGCUUAGUUGGGAAGAAUAUUUUUGUUGUGUUAGUUGGAUGGGUAGUAGAAAUCACGUACAAGAUAUAAUUGUUGCUCUGUUAAAUGAAGUGAACAAGCAGGAAUAAGUCUCGGUGGGGGGCCUAUAUGAAGCUGACACUUGCCAAUUCUGACAAAUUCGACACACGCAGCACUGUAAGUUUGUCACAAAUCCAACAAGUUAAAAGUAUAUUUCAUAAUUGAAAACAACUUCCUUCUGUUGUGCACCUACGAUAAUUGACGAUAUGCUCAUUCUUUUUGGUUUUCCACGAGAAAUGAGCCAACUGGAUGGACAAUGUAAAUUGAGAUUUCACCCCAACAAGAGAAUACUCAAAAGAAGAGAAAAGAGAGUCCAGUAACUCUGAGGGAGACAACUUAUGCAAGAAGAAAAUAAAGGGUCAAUUAUUACUAAUAAUAGCAUUAAGGCAAUUAACUACGUUGAAGAAAGGGUAUAGGAAUUAAAUAUUCAUUCCCUCAUUUCAUACAAGAACAUACAACAUCAAAAAAGGAAAAAAUAAAUGUACAGUUGAUGUUUCUCAUGGCAACAUUGGAUAGUCCAGAAGUUGUGAAACCACUAGAAUUUGAAUGACAGAUAAAAGCAGAAUGUUUCCAACAAUGUCUUGAGCAUUCUCCUUUCCUUUUCUCUUUUCGAUUUUUUUGGAGUUGUGUCGACAUUUAAUGUCUUCUACUUUAUAGAUGAUUUGUUAUUGUGUACAAUUAAUAAAUUCAAUGAGCAUACUUUGUUCCUUACCUAUUAGAUCAUCCUUUUUACUAUUACACACGUAAUUUGAAUAAAUUGU